CUACGGGAGGCAGCAGUGGGGAAUAUUGGACAAUGGGCGCAAGCCUGAUCCAGCCAUGCCGCGUGUGUGAAGAAGGCCUUCGGGUUGUAAAGCACUUUCAGUUGGGAGGAAAGGUUAGUCGCUAAUAUCGGCUAGCUGUGACGUUACCAACAGAAGAAGCACCGGCUAACUCCGUGCCAGCAGCCGCGGUAAUACGGAGGGUGCAAGCGUUAAUCGGAAUUACUGGGCGUAAAGCGUACGCAGGCGGUUGAUUAAGCGAGAUGUGAAAGCCCCGGGCUCAACCUGGGAACUGCAUUUCGAACUGGUCAACUAGAGUGUGAUAGAGGGUGGUAGAAUUUCAGGUGUAGCGGUGAAAUGCGUAGAGAUCUGAAGGAAUACCGAUGGCGAAGGCAGCCACCUGGGUCAACACUGACGCUCAUGUACGAAAGCGUGGGGAGCAAACAGGAUUAGAUACCCCUGUAGUC
rnacentral:rRNA from 1 species